rnacentral:rRNA from 1 species
CGCGGGCUUCGGCCUGGCGACGAGUGGCGGACGGGUGAGUAAUGCGUAGGAAUCUGCCUAGUAGCGGGGGACAACUUAGGGAAACUUAAGCUAAUACCGCAUACGCCCUACGGGGGAAAGCAGGGGAUCUUCGGACCUUGCACUAUUGGAUGAGCCUACGUCGGAUUAGCUAGUUGGUGGGGUAAAGGCCUACCAAGGCGACGAUCCGUAGCUGGUCUGAGAGGACGAUCAGCCACACUGGGACUGAGACACGGCCCAGACUCCUACGGGAGGCAGCAGUGGGGAAUAUUGGACAAUGGGGGCAACCCUGAUCCAGCAAUGCCGCGUGUGUGAAGAAGGCCUGCGGGUUGUAAAGCACUUUCGAUGGGAAAGAAAAGCUCAGGGCUAAUAUCCCUGAGUCUUGACGUUACCCAGAGAAGAAGCACCGGCUAACUCUGUGCCAGCAGCCGCGGUAAUACAGAGGGUGCAAGCGUUAAUCGGAAUUACUGGGCGUAAAGCGCGCGUAGGCGGUUUGAUUAGUCGGAUGUGAGAUCCCCGGGCUUAACCUGGGAACUGCAUUCGAUACUGUCUGACUAGAGUUUGGUAGAGGGAAGUGGAAUUCCAGGUGUAGCGGUGAAAUGCGUAGAUAUCUGGAGGAACAUCAGUGGCGAAGGCGACUUCCUGGACCAAAACUGACGCUGAGGUGCGAAAGCGU